rnacentral:rRNA from 1 species
AACGAACGCUGGCGGCAUGCCUAACACAUGCAAGUCGAACGAGAUCUUCGGGUCUAGUGGCGCACGGGUGCGUAACGCGUGGGAAUCUGCCCUUGGUUCGGAAUAACAGUUGGAAACGACUGCUAAUACCGGAUGAUGACGAAAGUCCAAAGAUUUAUCGCCAGAGGAUGAGCCCGCGUAGGAUUAGCUAGUUGGUGUGGUAAAGGCGCACCAAGGCGACGAUCCUUAGCUGGUCUGAGAGGAUGAUCAGCCACACUGGGACUGAGACACGGCCCAGACUCCUACGGGAGGCAGCAGUGGGGAAUAUUGGACAAUGGUCGAAAGCCUGAUCCAGCAAUGCCGCGUGAGUGAUGAAGGCCUUAGGGUUGUAAAGCUCUUUUACCCGGGAUGAUAAUGACAGUACCGGGAGAAUAAGCUCCGGCUAAUUCCGUGCCAGCAGCCGCGGUAA